GACGAACGCUGGCGGCGUGCCUACCACAUGCAAGUGGAGCGACGAACCAGGGCUUGCCCUGGGGCCAAGCCGCGAACGGGUGAGUAACACGUGGGUAACCUGCCCCGAUGACCGGGACAACCCGAGGAAACUCGGGCUAAUACCGGAUGUGGUGGACACACUUAAGUGUGUCCACUAAAGGAAGCUUCGGCCUCCGCAUUGGGAUGGGCCCGCGGCCCAUUAGCUAGUUGGUGGGGUAAAGCCUACCAAGGCACGAUGGGUAGCUGGUCUGAGAGGACGAUCAGCCACACUGGGACUGAGACACGGCCCAGACUCCUACGGGAGGCAGCAGUGGGGAAUCUUGCGCAAUGCGCGAAAGCGUGACGCAGCAACGCCGCGUGAGGAAGACGGCCU
rnacentral:rRNA from 1 species